rnacentral:rRNA from 1 species
UACGAAGGGUGCAAGCGUUACUCGGAAUUACUGGGCGUAAAGCGUGCGUAGGUGGUGAGUUAAGUCUGUCGUGAAAGCCCCGGGCUCAACCUGGGAAUGGCGAUGGAUACUGGCUCGCUAGAGUGCGGUAGAGGAGAGUGGAAUUCCACGUGUAGCAGUGAAAUGCGUAGAGAUGUGGAGGAACACCAGUGGCGAAGGCGACUCUUUGGUCUGUAACUGACGCUGAGGCGCGAAAGCGUGGGGAGCAAACAGG